rnacentral:tRNA from 1 species
GCCGAAGUGGUGGAAUUGGUAGACGCGCUGCAUUCAGGGUGCAGUGAGCGCAAGCUCGUGGGGGUUCGAGUCCCCCCUUCGGCA